UCGGUUAGAAGAUGGGUCUGCUGGUACAUUUUCAAAACAGUCCUUGCAGCAUAGGUAAAUCAAGUAAAUUGACCUCCGCCUGCACUCAAGGUCGUCUCCCUCUCCUUCCAUCUCCUGUACCAGCACAGCCACCGCCGCGAGCUAGGGUUACGGCCCAGCGAGCUCAAGAACCAAUCUCCCUCCCUCAAGAUCUUCACUGAAUCCAAUCGCCGCUCUCUCCCUCUUUUGUACCAAUGCGCCAGCCGCCAGGCGAUUUUGGCAGCAGCCUACCACCGGAACAUCUGAAGAGUGCCCUGAUUUCGCCUUUGGCAGUGGUCGCUCGUUGUGAGCGCAUCGGCGACUCAACCUACCACCGCCACCGCCGUCAGCAGCACUGACCAUCUGCAGCAGCUCAAGGAUCUUGAGCAGACUAUUCGCUACUAUUCAGAUUCAGGGCCAUCUUGCCCGCUCCAACAAUAUUUUUGCCUUUGAUAAGCAUGGAAAAAAUGCAAGCAUCGCCUUCCUUCGCAUCUUCACCAGGCUUCAAACCGAUUAGCUGGAGGCAUGAACUAGGAGGUCAAAGAAUCAGCCAAUGCUGAUGAAUUAUGGUUGGGUAAUCUUC